GGGAAUCUUGCACAAUGGGCGAAAGCCUGAUGCAGCAACGCCGCGUGUGGGAUGAAUGCCUUCGGGUUGUAAACCACUUUCUGGAGGGAAGAAAUUGACGGUACCUCCAAAAGAAGCCCCGGCCAACUACGUGCCAGCAGCCGCGGUAAUACGUAGGGGGCAAGCGUUAUCCGGAAUCAUUGGGCGUAAAGAGCUCGUAGGCGGUUCAGCAAGUCGGCUGUGAAAGUCCAAGGCUCAACCUUGGAAAUGCAGUCGAUACUGCUGUGACUAGAGUCUGGUAGAGGAGAAUGGAAUUCCCGGUGUAGCGGUGGAAUGCGCAGAUAUCGGGAGGAACACCAGUAGCGAAGGCGGUUCUCUGGGCCUCGACUGACGCUGAGGAGCGAAAGCAUGGGUAGCAAAC
rnacentral:rRNA from 1 species